AAUCCCAGCGCGGCUCUCGGCACUGUCGCGAUAUCUCCGAUCCCCGCCCUGCUCUCUCGGUUCCGGGCCCCCACUGCUUCCAUAAACAAAGGCUCGUUUGGGAGCAUUGCCGGGUCACGGAGAGCGGCGGCGCUGCGGCAGCUGCUUUCACCUGGGCUACUGCUGCCACUGAAGUCACUGCUGCCGCUGGUUUCCCUGAGGGCUGUGCUGCCACUCCAGCAGGUCCAGAUCCUUGUGCUGGAUGCUUCACAACUGCACACAGGACUGCAGGUGAAGAUGUCAGGGUGGCUGAAGUCCCUCAUGAAGACCAGGACCUGUGAUCAUGAAGCUUCCCCUAUUUGCUUGUAAAGGGCCUCAUCUGCUUCGUCUUCCUGAUCAGGUGGAGCUCCAUGGACUCCAGUUUAUCAUUGCUGUAGAGGGCAACACCCCCUCCCCUUCUGCCCUGCUUGUCCCUCCUGAAGAAUCUAUAACCAUACCAAGCUGAAAUCAUGAGAUCCAUCCCACCAUGUCUCAGUGGUGCCAAUGACAUCAUAACCCCAUAGACUUGCACAUAUUUGCAGUUCUUCCUGCUUGCCCCAUACCAUUUUCCACUAUAUGCUGGUUGCCCCCUCAGGCCUUUCCUUUCCUGAGCCACAGCCUCUGCUCAGGGAACUCCUUCUACUCUUG